CACUCUAGAGAUAGAGCUUCCCCUUCGGGGGCAAAGUGACAGGUGGUGCAUGGUUGUCGUCAGCUCGUGUCGUGAGAUGUUGGGUUAAGUCCCGCAACGAGCGCAACCCUUAUUGUUAGUUGCCAUCAUUCAGUUGGGCACUCUAGCAAGACUGCCGGUGACAAACCGGAGGAAGGUGGGGAUGACGUCAAAUCAUCAUGCCCCUUAUGACCUGGGCUACACACGUGCUACAAUGGGAAGUACAACGAGUUGCGAAGUCGCGAGGCUAAGCUAAUCUCUUAAAGCUUCUCUCAGUUCGGAUUGCAGGCUGCAACUCGCCUGCAUGAAGCCGGAAUCGCUAGUAAUCGCGGAUCAGCACGCCGCGGUGAAUACGUUCCCGGGCCUUGUACACACCGCCCGUCACACCACGAGAGUUUGUAACACCCGAAGUCGGUGAGGUAACCUUUUUGGAGCCAGCCGCCUAAGGUGGGAUAGAUGAUUGGGGUGAAGUCGUAACAAGGUAGCCGUAUCGGAAGGUGCGGCUGGAUCACCUCCUUUCUAAGGAA
rnacentral:rRNA from 1 species